rnacentral:rRNA from 1 species
GACGAACGCUGGCGGCGUGCUUAACACAUGCAAGUCGAACGGUAAGGCCCUUCGGGGUACACGAGUGGCGAACGGGUGAGUAACACGUGGGUGAUCUGCCCUGCACUUCGGGAUAAGCCUGGGAAACUGGGUCUAAUACCGGAUAGGACUCCGGACUGCAUGGUCUGGGGUGGAAAGCUUUUGCGGUGUGGGAUGGGCCCGCGGCCUAUCAGCUUGUUGGUGGGGUGAUGGCCUACCAAGGCGACGACGGGUAGCCGGCCUGAGAGGGUGACCGGCCACACUGGGACUGGGAUACGGCCCAGACUCCUACGGGAGGCAGCAGUGGGGAAUAUUGCACAAUGGGCGGAAGCCUGAUGCAGCGACACCGCGUGAGGGAUGACGGCCUUCGGGCUGUAAACCUCUUUCAGCAUCGACGAAGCGAAAGUGACGGUAGGUGCAGAAGAAGGACCGGCCAACUACGUGCCAGCCGCCGCGGUAA